CCCCGGUUCAUCGGCGUCGUGGGCAACCGCGGCGUCGUAGUGGGGUGCUCAGCGAAUGAAUGAAAUUAAAACCAAUGCCGCGGACGCGGCAGUAACACUCAGAAGUGUUGACUCAGUUCAUUCGGUGUAAGCCGGGCAACCGGCGUCUUUUGACGAACAACUGCCCUAUCAGCCAGUGAUGGCCGUGUAGUGGACUGCCAUGGCGUUGACGGGAGCGGGGGAUUAGGGUUCGAUUCCGGAGAGGGAGCCUGAGAAAUAGCUACCACUUCUACGGAGGGCAGCAGGCGCGCAAAUUGCCCAAUGUCAAAGCAAACGAUGAGGCAGCGAAAAGAAAUAGGCCUCACGGAUACCUCACGGUGUUCGUGAGAUACAAUGGGGGAUAUUUAAACCCAUCCAAAAUCGAGUAUCAAUUGGAGGACAAGUCUGGUGCCAGCACCCGCGGUAAUUCCAGCUCCAAAAGCAUAUAUUAACGCUGCUGCUGUUAAAGGGUUCGUAGUUGAAUUGAGGGCUCUCAAGGAGACCGUCAAGUCCCAUCCACGUCGGAUCGGCGACCGCGGCUUUUGGAGCUCGUGAACACAUCAGAAACACAAACCACGGGAAUGGUUCCCUUCCAAUCUUCGCAUGUCAUGCAUGCUGGGGGGCGCCCGUGAUUUUUACUGUGACUAAAGAAGUGUGACCAAAGCAGUCAAUCGACAUGAAUUAGAAAGCAUGGGAUAACAAAGGAGCAACCUGCGGGACUACCGUUUCGGCUUUUGUUGGUUUUAAAAGUCUGUAGGAGAUUAUGGGUGUGCCUGACCGGCGCAUCGGGGGAACUCGUUUCCUCCCUGCGCUUCCGUGUGCUUCAGGGGUUCGUCCUCUGUUCGCGCGGCUGGUGCGCCCAGGAAUGAAGGAGGGUUGUUCGGGGGAGAACGUACUUGAGCGUGAGAGGUGAAAUUCUUAGACCGCUCAAAGACGAACUACAGCGAAGGCAUUCUCCAAGGAUACCUUCCUCAAUCAAGAACCAAAGUGUGGAGAUCGAAGAUGAUUAGAGACCAUUGUAGUCCACACCACAAACGGUGACACCCAUGAAUUGGGGACUAUUUGGACGGAGGUGUGCUGGGCUCUGCCUAGUUCACGCCCCUCCAAAACAAUCAAUUUACGUGCAUAUUCAAAACGGGCUUCGGCCCAACUACGGGAAUAUCCUCAGCACGUUCUCUGACUGUUUCACGCGAAAGCUUUGAGGUUACAGUCUCAGGGGGGAGUACGUUCGCAAGAGUGAAACUUAAAGAAAUUGACGGAGUGGCACCACAAGACGUGGAGCGUGCGGUUUAAUUUGACCCAACACGGGGAACUUUACCAGAUCCGGACAGGGUGAGGAUUGACAGAUUGACAGCUCUUUCUUGAUCCUAUGGGUGGUGGUGCAUGGCCGUUCCUAGUUGGUGGAGUGAUCUGUCUGGUUAAUUCCGAUAACGAACGAGACCUCAGCCUGCUAACUAGAUCUUCUUAGA
rnacentral:rRNA from 1 species